rfam:Ichthyophthirius multifiliis unplaced genomic scaffold scaff_815, whole genome shotgun sequence.
AACCUGGUUGAUCCUGCCAGUUACAUAUGCUUGUCUUAAAGAUUAACCCAUGCAUGUGCCAGUUCAGUAUUGAACAGCGAAACUGCGAAUGGCUCAUUAAAACAGUUAUAGUUUAUUUGAUAAUUCAAAAUUACAUGGAUAACCGAGCUAAUUGUUGGGCUAAUACAUGCGAAAAAAUCCGUGUCCCGCGACCGGAUUGUAUUUAUUAGAUAUUAAACCAAUCUCCUUCGGGCGAUUGUGAUGAUUCAAAGUAACUGAUCGAAUCGCGGCUUGCUGCGAUAAAUCAUCUAAGUUUCUGCCCUAUCAGCUCUCGAUGGUAGUGUAUUGGACUACCAUGGCGCUCACGGGUAACGGAGAAUUAGGGUUCGAUUCCGGAGAAGGAGCCUGAGAAACGGCUACUACACCUACGGGUAGGCAGCAGGGACGUAAAUUACCCAAUCCUAAUUCAGGGAGGUAGUGACAAGAAAUAGCAAGCCGGGAGAUUCUUCUCUACGGCAUUGAAAUGAGAACAGUGUAAAUCUCUUAGCGAGGAACAAUUGGAGGGCAAGUCAGGUGCCAGCAGCCGCGGUAAUUCCUGCUCCAAUAGCGUAUAUUAAAGUUGUUGCAGUUAAAAAGCUCGUAGUUGAACUUCUGCCUAUUUUAGCUGGGUUCUCUUAGCUAAAAUGGGCAUACGUUUGCAAACCAAACUCGGCCUUCACUGGUUCGACUUGGGGAGUAAACAUUUUACUGUGAAAAAAUUAGAGUGUUUCAGGCAGGUUAUAGCCCGGAUACAUCAGCAUGGAAUAAUGGAAUAGGACUGAGUCCAUUUUAUUGGUUAUUGGAUUUGGUAAUGAUUAAUAGGGACAGUUGGGGGCAUUAGUAUUUAAUAGUCAGAGGUGAAAUUCUUGGAUUUAUUAAGGACUAACUAAUGCGAAAGCAUUUGCCAAAGAUGUUUUCAUUAAUCAAGAACGAAAGUUAGGGGAUCAAAGACGAUCAGAUACCGUCGUAGUCUUAACUAUAAACUAUACCGACUCGGGAUCGGCUGGAAUACUAUGUCCAGUCGGCACCGUAUGAGAAAUCAAAGUCUUUGGGUUCUGGGGGAAGUAUGGUCGCAAGGCUGAAACUUAAAGGAAUUGACGGAACAGCACACCAGAAGUGGAACCUGCGGCUUAAUUUGACUCAACACGGGGAAACUCACGAGCGCAAGACAGAGAAGGGAUUGACAGAUUGAGAGCUCUUUCUUGAUUCUUUGGGUGGUGGUGCAUGGCCGUUCUUAGUUGGUGGAGUGAUUUGUCUGGUUAAUUCCGUUAACGAACGAGACCUUAACCUGCUAACUAGUCGACCUGUGAACAACGGGUUGUACUUCUUAGAGGGACUAUUGUGCAUUUAAGCCAAUGGAAGUUUAAGGCAAUAACAGGUCUGUGAUGCCCCUAGACGUGCUCGGCCGCACGCGCGUUACAAUGGCUGGCUCAAAAAGUAUUUCCUGACCUGGAAAGGUUCGGGUAAUCUUAUUAAUACCAGUCGUGUUAGGGAUAGUUCUUUGAAACUAUAGAUCUUGAACGAGGAAUUUCUAGUAAGUGCAAGUCAUCAGCUUGCGUUGAUUAUGUCCCUGCCGUUUGUACACACCGCCCGUCGCUUGUAGUAACGAAUGGUCUGGUGAACCUUCUGGACCGAGGUCGCAAGGCUUUGGGAAGUUAAGUAAACCCUACCAUUUGGAACAACAAGAAGUCGUAACAAGGUAUCUGUAGGUGAACCUGCAGAUGGAUCAUUA